ensembl:ncRNA W10C8.9 ncRNA
CUGAUCCCUCGCCACUAUUUUUUUUUCGUUCGUCUCCACACCCAGUUUCCAAGACAUUACAUUGUGUGUGUGUGACGUGGCGAACUACUGUAGUUCGCACCUUACAGUAAACUGGCGGGUGCGAACGGAAGUGGUGGUGGAGGUGAUC